UUAUGAAUAAAUAUAAAAAUAGGAGUUCGGCUAUAGUGUUUUUAAAAAUACCAAGCACUUGAUAUUUAAAAAUUUUUCGCCGUUGUAUCUGUCUCUUUGACUAUUUCCACAUGUUCGAUCAUACUAUUCAACCAACAGUCCGCUCAACUUUAUUCGUAAUCGUAUAUCCCUCUAAUCCAAAAAUCUAAAACCUACAGUCAUUAAUGACUUGAUAUUUUUAAAAGUAUAGGAGCUCAAUUCAUAAAAAUAAUCACAUAAGUGAAAUAUUAUGUCUUCUUUUUUUUUUUUUUUUGGG
rnacentral:lncRNA from 1 species